rnacentral:rRNA from 1 species
AGCCGUUGAAACUGGUGCCUUGAGUGGGCGAGAAGUAUGCGGAAUGCGUGGUGUAGCGGUGAAAUGCAUAGAUAUCACGCAGAACUCCGAUUGCGAAGGCAGCAUACCGGCGCUCAACUGACGCUCAUGCACGAAAGUGUGGGUAUCGAACAGGAUUAGAUACCCUGGUAGUCCACACAGUAAACGAUGAAUACUAAUUGUUCGGGGAGAAUGAUCCCUGAGUGAUACAGCGAAAGCGUUAAGUAUUCCACCUGGGGAGUACGCCGGCAACGGUGAAACUCAAAGGAGUUGACGGGGGCCCGCACAAGCGGAGGAACAUGUGGUUUAAUUCGAUGAUACGCGAGGAACCUUACCCGGGCUCAAACGACACAGGAAUACUUUUGAAAGGAGGUAGCUCUACGGAGUCUGUGUCGAGGUGCUGCAUGGUUGUCGUCAGCUCGUGCCGUGAGGUGUCGGCUUAAGUGCCAUAACGAGCGCAACCCCCAUCGCCAGUUACCAGCAAGUCAAGUUGGGGACUCUGGCGAGACUGCCGGCGCAAGCUGUGAGGAAGGCGGGGAUGACGUCAAAUCAGCACGGCCCUUACGUCCGGGGCGACACACGUGUUACAAUGGCAGGUACAGAGAGAAGCAAUGCGGCGACGCAAAGCGGAACUUGAAAGCCUGUCUCAGUUCGGAUUGGAGUCUGCAACUCGACUCCAUGAAGCUGGAUUCGCUAGUAAUCGCGCAUCAGCCAUGGCGCGGUGAAUACGUUCCCGGGCCUUGUACACACCGCCCGUCAAGCCAUGGAAGCCGGGAGUGCCUGAAGUGUGCAACCGCAAGGAGCGCCCUAAGGUAAAACUGGUGACUGGGGCUAAGUCGUAACAAGGUAGCCGUAA